rnacentral:lncRNA from 1 species
AAUCUCUAAAAGCUUGAAUUCUAUUGCUACGUUAAUAGUUUGUUUUCAAUACUCCCUCUCCCCCCUCUCUUUCUCUCUCUCUCUCUCUCUCUCUCUCUCUCUCCAAUUGAAUGUCCCUUUGGUUGCAUGUGGUUUAGAGCUUAGAAGUGAUAUUAACAAGGAAAAACUUUAAAAAGCUCCCCUAUGGUUUCAUACUUUUUCACUUUAGUAUCCUGUGGUUUAAAGUCUAUCAAUUUAACCCCCUGUGGUCUCAUUUUUAUUUUUUCGGUAUCUUUUUCGUUAAUAUUUCGUUAAAUUAUAUACAAAAAACUUCAGAUAUCCAUCUAGAUUUAUCGAAUAUUCACUUUAGUACCCUUCAAUCUUAAUUUUGUCACUGAUUUAAGAAAAAAAAUAAUGAAAUUCAUAAUAAAAAGAGAAAAACGAAAUCACAGUGGGGCAAAUUGAUACACUUUAAACCACAGAGUACUAAAGUGAGAAAAUGCGAAACCACAGGGGGUUUUUUUUAAGUUUUCCCUAUUAACAAAGUUACUUUUAUUAGGAGCAUUUCAGAUUUAUGACAUAUGAUCAAAUUCGAUUACUAAUCAUACCAAUAAAUUUAUUUGUUAAUAGCGAAAUCAGAUUGCCUUACAUAUUAGGCAAAUCAACAGUGCUUUAAUAGCAUAGGUGAGAGUGAUCUCUUGUGCAUGUCAACAUUUGUCGUUGAUUGGAUCUUUUUUUUAUCAUUAAUUGGACUUUUAAGCAGUUUUUGGAGAAUUUUUUCUUGAAUAAUAUCUCAUUACGAUAAUUACUUACUUGCAUGAAUUUAUAGUUUUGAGUAUUGCAUGAAAUAUACUAAUUAAACCUAUAAAAAUAAACGAUGCCGUAAAGUCAGAAUGCCAUUGACCGGCUCAAAUCAAAUAAAUUUAAAAGUUGGGUGGUAAAUGAAAAUUUUCAAAAAUCGAAUAGUCGAAUAAAAAAGUUCAUAGUUCAAGUAAGUUUUGUACACUUUUAUAAUUUAGAAAAAUUAUCAAACCUCACUACAACAGAAUUAGGUUAUAGGGACACAUGUUUGGGACACUUUUGAGUAAGUGUCUCAUUUAUACUAAAACUUAAAAAACAUCUACUAAUACCUAAAUAUAAAGCCCAAUCCAACCAAAAAUAAAAGAUUACUCUACUCAACCCACCACACCCAGUUCAUUUGGCCCGAUUACAAAUAGAAAAGAAUAAAAAAAAAAAUCAAUUACCAUCUUUUCUUCUCUCUUCACUCAAUUCACUGAAAUUCUAGACGAAGAGCCUUUCCUGUCGUCCUCCUCCGCCACCGCAGCCAACGAGAUAGAGUUUUGGCGGUUGCUAAAUGCUUAAAUAAGUGUUGGUAAAUUAGCAGCACUCUUUUAGGUUAUAGCGACACUCUUUAACUGUCACUAUAUACCUAGCGACCCCACAUAUAGCAACACUUUUCAAAAGUGUCGGUAAUUUUAGCUAGCAGCACUUUUUUGACAUGUACCUAUAUUUAAAAGUGUCGCUAUAGACCGUUUUUGUUGUAGUGUCUACUUAUAUAAUAUUGUUAUUCCACACAAAAUAU